UCAGGACGAACGCUGGCGGCGUGCCUAAUACAUGCAAGUGGAACGCAUGAUUGAUACCGGAGCUUGCUCCACCAUUAAUCAUGAGUCGCGAACGGGUGAGUAACGCGUAGGUAACCUGCCUCAUAGCGGGGGAUAACUAUUGGAAACGAUAGCUAAUACCGCAUAACAGUAGUUAACGCAUGUUAUUUGUUUGAAAGGAGCAAAUGCUUCACUAUGAGAUGGACCUGCGUUGUAUUAGCUAGUUGGUGGGGUAACGGCUCACCAAGGCVACGAUACAUAGCCGACCUGAGAGGGUGAUCGGCCACACUGGGACUGAGACACGGCCCAGACUCCUACGGGAGGCAGCAGU
rnacentral:rRNA from 1 species